rnacentral:rRNA from 1 species
UACGUAGGGGGGCAAGCGUUGUCCGGAGUUACUGGGCGUAAAGCGCACGCAGGCGGUCUUUUAAGUUUGGAGUGACAGUUGGUGGCUUAACUGCCAAAGUGCUUCGAAAACUGAAAAGACUUGAGGGCUUCAGAGGGACACGGAAUUCCGGGUGGAGUGGUGAAAUGCGUAGAGAUCCGGAGGAACACCAAAGGCGAAGGCAGUGUCCUGGGGAGUACCUGACGCUCAGGUGCGAAAGCCAGGGGAGCGAACGGG